rnacentral:rRNA from 1 species
GAUGGGCGAAAGCCUGACGCAGCAACGCCGCGUGAUUGAUGAAGCUUCUAGGAGCGUAAAGAUCUGUCGUGAGGGAAGAAAAUGACGGUACCUCACAAGAAAGCACCGGCUAACUUCGUGCCAGCAGCCGCGGUAAUACGAGGGGUGCUAGCGUUGUCCGGAAUCAUUGGGCGUAAAGGGUCCGUAGGCGGUUUAACAAGUCGGUCGUGAAAGUUCAGGGCUCAACCCUGAAAUGCGAUCGAUACUGUUGGACUAGGAUACGGUAGAGGUGAGUGGAAUUCCGAGUGUAGCGGUGAAAUGCGUAGAUAUUCGGAGGAACACCAAUUGCGAAGGCAGCUCACUGGGCCGCUAUCGACGCUGAGGAGCGAAAGCUAGGGGAGCAAACAGGAUU